AGUGAACGCUGGCGGUAGGCCUAACACAUGCAAGUCGAACGGCAGCACAGUAAGAGCUUGCUCUUACGGGUGGCGAGUGGCGGACGGGUGAGGAAUACAUCGGAAUCUACUUUUUCGUGGGGGAUAACGUAGGGAAACUUACGCUAAUACCGCAUACGACAUACGGGUGAAAGCAGGGGAUCUUCGGACCUUGCGCGAUUGAAUGAGCCGAUGUCGGAUUAGCUAGUUGGCGGGGUAAAGGCCCACCAAGGCGACGAUCCGUAGCUGGUCUGAGAGGAUGAUCAGCCACACUGGAACUGAGACACGGUCCAGACUCCUACGGGAGGCAGCAGUGGGGAAUAUUGGACAAUGGGCGCAAGCCUGAUCCAGCCAUACCGCGUGGGUGAAGAAGGCCUUCGGGUUGUAAAGCCCUUUUGUUGGGAAAGAAAAGCAGCAGGUUAAUACCCCGCUGUUCUGACGGUACCCAAAGAAUAAGCACCGGCUAACUUCGUA
rnacentral:rRNA from 1 species